AAGGUUGUCGAGCAUCAUCAGCCCUGUGCAAUAUAUGAAGAAAUACAAACACAAAAUGCUAAGUGAGCAAAUUAUCCAGCACUUUUUAAUAGCAUCUGAAAGCUAAUCCAUGCUUCAAACAUUUGGGCAUUGCAAUUGCAAGUAAUACGCUUCUCAGAAAAUAAAAUGAUUACAUGCUAAAGUAUACACAAAACGAAAUGGCUUAAAUUUGCCCCUAUGUGUCAAGUAUCACUUUGACUUUAAAGCAGCCAAAUAAAUCUCCAGAAAAGAUGCUCACAUUUGGAGUUCUUCUCCAUUUGA
rnacentral:misc_RNA from 1 species